GAUGAACGCUGGCGGCGUGCUUAAGACAUGCAAGUCGAACGGAGUGUGUAGCAAUACUCACUAAGUGGCGAAUGGGUGAGUAACACGUAGGUGACCUGCCCUGAAGUGCGGAAUAACAGUCCGAAAGGAUUGCUAAUACCGCAUGUGGUCCCGGGCGUUAGAGAACCGGGUCGUAAAGACAGUAAUGCGCUUCAGGAGGGGCCGUGCGGUCCA
rnacentral:rRNA from 1 species